rnacentral:rRNA from 1 species
CGAAGCAACGCGAAGAACCUUACCAGGCCUGACAUGCAGAGAACUUUCCAGAGAUGGAUUGGUGCCUUCGGGAACUCUGACACAGGUUGCUGCAUGGCUGUCGUCAGCUCGUGUCGUGAGUAUGUUGGGUUAAGUCCCGUAACGAGCGCAACCCUUGUCCUUAGUUACCAGCACGUUAUGGUGGGCACUCUAAGGAGACUGCCGGUGACAAACCGGAGGAAGGUGGGGAUGACGUCAAGUCAUCAUGGCCCUUACGGCCUGGGCUACACACGUGCUACAAUGGUCGGUACAAAGGGUUGCCAAGCCGCGAGGUGGAGCUAAUCCCAUAAAAACCGAUCGUAGUCUGGAUCGCAGUCUGCAACUCGACUGCGUGAAGUCGGAAUCGCUAGUAAUCGUGAAUCAGAAUGUCACGGUGAAUACGUUCCCGGGCCUU